GACCGAGUGCGCGAGCGGACAUGACGUGUGGCUGUCGUAAAAACCCUAUUUGUAAACAACCAGCCCUUUAACUCGGGGCUGCGUCAUAAACACGGCGCGCUUGGAAGACCACGAUGUCAUCUUCCUUCUGUCAGGAGGAUCCAAGUGAAGCUACAGGAGUUUCAUUAACGUCAACAACUUGGACCAAACAGUUUGUUUUGCUUGAUGAAGAGCAGGAAGGGCAGCCUGGAGAGAAAGAGAAGCCGGGUUGAGCCCACUACCAUCAUCCACGUACCACGAGGAAGAUGAGGGAGAGAAAUGAUCCUACCAUUAAAGAGACUGUGAAAAGAACGUUGAGAACAUCACCACUCUACAGGAAGACACAGUCCAGUAAUGGGUGUCAGAAGUUCAGUAGUGAACGACAGGUACUGUGGAAAAAUAUGUGUCAUUGUUGUACAAUGUCCUUUGACUCUGUUUAAACAAGGUUAACACAAAAAGGUUUGAUUGUAAACUGAUAUCGGUAUGAAUUCAUGUUAUUCUCCUCGUCAAAAGAAACAAACAAUCCAAAUUACCUGCAGAAAGCCCUUGAUGGACGCUUCAGCUGCAUCGUCAGACUGGCAGUACUGAUGCAUUUACUGAGAGGGGACGUGAGGGCCUACUCUGCGUGCUCAGAGUUCAAGCCCAGCAGGCUGCAGCGGGCCUGACAUAUUCUGGAACAGCAGCACAGUCUUUAGAUGACUCCUCUGAAGAUGAAAACAUGGCGAGUUCUUCUCAAGAGAAGCAGUACAGGUGUGCCUCAGCUCCACGGUCCCUCCUGCAGCCUCCGCUCCUGAUGCUAACCUCAUGUCUCCAUCACACCAAGCAGCAGACCUGGAUUGACAGACCUUUCUCCAGAGCUGCCCCCUCCCUCUGAAACCCCCCUCUCCAAAACACUAUUUGUGUAGUUUUUAAAGUAUUUUUUGCAUGAGAAUUGUUGAUCAU